ensembl:lncRNA
CCGAUACGUGCGGCGGGAAUAACGUGAGGCGAAACCGCUGUCAGGUAACCGAGCUAUUCGUGGCCGAACCGUAAGCCCGUGAGCCCUGUCACGGGCGUUUAACGUUACCCGCCCGAAUAAACUCCUCGCAACACCCCUCCCAGCCCCCCCACCACCACCACCACCACCCCGGCGGCUCGGGACUGCCCGGACGCGGGGACCCGGUGUAAACAAAGACGCUCUCAUUCAGCCGGUUGGUCGUCGACGCCGCCCGGGCCGGCGGUGUACUCCGUGAAGUCUACUCACCGGUCGGCUGUUCUUACCUCCGCUCGGCUCGAACGAGGGACGGGUUAUUCCAGCUCUUUUUUCUCCCCCCCCGGUCGUCUGUCCGUUAACUUUUCACAGCCAUGGAUACGCCCAGGAAGGAAGGGGAAUCUCCAAGGAGCAAGUCGAGGAGGCGCGUGCGUCAAACGCGUAGCGGUUGGCCGUUGACGUCAGCGAGCGCACGUAAACGUACGUAAGGUUGGAUCGGGAAUACGAGGGUGGACCACUCAAUUUCCCACAAUCAACACGGGCAUUUUCAACCAGGAUAUCCGGGUAUGAGCGUCAUCACGUUGGACCUACAUACAUAAUCCAAAUAAAUAUCUAUAAAUGUGUGUGUUCUUCCUAAGAAAAGCCAUUCUUCAAAUAUGCUCUUUCCUAUUUCCGUUUUUGAUCAUAUAUUAUCCAUACGCCCUUUUUGUGGUGACAAAAUAAAUGUUGAGUUUUAAUCUCCGAGUGGACCUUCUACCUCAGGCCGGUGUCAGAGCUUGGCCCUCUGGUGACACCUAGUGGCCCCCAAUCUGAACCUCAAUUCUCUACCAGCUUUUUAAAAUAGUUCUCUAAAAUGAUUUAAUGUUGCAUGUUUUAUUUUGAAAUAAAACACCCAGCGCCAUUCAUAUGAUCUAGCGGAUAAAGGCUCUCUCC